rnacentral:rRNA from 1 species
UACGUAGGGGGCGAGCGUUGUCCGGAUUUAUUGGGCGUAAAGAGCGUGUAGGCGGCCAGGUAGGUCUGCUGUGAAAACUCGGGGCUCAACCCCGAGACGUCGGUGGAAACCACCUGGCUAGAGUCCGGAAGAGGAGAGUGGAAUUCCUGGUGUAGCGGUGAAAUGCGCAGAUAUCAGGAAGAAUAUCCGUGGCGAAGGCGGCUCUCUGGUACGGCACUGACGCUGAGACGCGAAAGCGUGGGGAGCGAACAGG